AUAGCUCUUCAGUCUCAUGGUCUGUGUGAUAGUAAGACAAGCUUGUGUUUUCCCAUGGCUUAGAACCUUUGAUUCAGCCUCUGACUUGUCUGCUCUGCUACCAAGGGAUAAACAACCCCAUCCUCAACGGACACAGUAGCUCAGGGUGUUGUAUCCCAGAUCUGGUGCUAAAAAUAGUCUAGUCAAAGAGGAUUCAAAUAACAUUAUCUUUAUUUACAAGGCAGAAGGUACAUUAGAAAGUAUAUAAUAUAUCAUCUCUAAUUAUGUGUGUCAUUCCAAAGCCUGGCAAUAACAAAAUAAUCACUGAGACAGAAAAAAAAUGUCCACUGUUUCAACUGAAAAACAAACAAACAAACAAACAAAAAAAGUAAAAAUAAAUUUGGACCUAGAAGUGCAUAGCCUCUACUCUUCUGUGCUGCUUUGCUGCUGACGGGAGUGUGUUUUGACUUCCUCAGGCUAGAAGCCUUCUGAACUUGGAAUUUCUUUGAUUCCUUUGUGUGGAUGACAUAGCCAGAGAUUACGAGCUUUUUGCUGCACUGAGUUGCUGCUGAGGAAGAUUUUUUAAAAGAAGGAAGAUUUUACACAGUAAGAACAGUGCCACAGCCUCAAGCAUGUACCAGCCCCAUAGUGUCUGUAACACUGCUCCCAGCUUGCACCCAGGCAACCUUCUGACAUGCAGAUGUGCAGGCUGAAGAUGGUCAGAUCUGCAGUUGCAGUGGUUAAUCAAAAAGGUUUACCCUGCCUUGCCUGAGGGAGAGUUAUAAAGAAGAGCAGGUGAUGGUUUGCACAUUACCAAAGGAGAGGCAGAUUAAAAGAAGACAGGAAGGAAAGCGAGCAGGUCCAAAUCCAGCACUGAGGACUGUGGCUCCACUCACCACAACAGAGGGACAGACGAAGUAGAAGUACAACCUUUAGCCAGUCUGCAGCAAUCACCGUCAUUAAGCCAGCUGCCCACUGUGUGAGAGGUAACAGCUUUAUGG
rnacentral:lncRNA from 1 species